GCGGGGGUGGCAGAGCCUGGUCAUGCACUAGGUUGAGGGCCUAGUCCAAAUGCACUAGGUUGAGGGCCUAGUCCCUAAGUGGGUGCGCGUGUUCAAAUCACGUCCCCCGCA
rnacentral:tRNA from 1 species